UGCCGUGGGCGCUGGAGAACUGAGGGGGGCUGCUCCUAGUACGAGAGGACCGGAGUGGACGCAUCACUGGUGUUCGGGUUGUCAUGCCAAUGGCACUGCCCGGUAGCUAAAUGCGGAAGAGAUAAGUGCUGAAAGCAUCUAAGCACGAAACUUGCCCCGAGAUGAGUUCUCCCUGACCCUUUAAGGGUCCUGAAGGAACGUUGAAGACGACGACGUUGAUAGGCCGGGUGUGUAAGCGCAGCGAUGCGUUGAGCUAACCGGUACUAAUGAACCGUGAGGCUUAACCUUACAACGCCGAAGGUGUUU
rnacentral:rRNA from 1 species